GGCCGCCUCUGGCUCCCCAUCCAUCCACAACGCCACUUCACCACCAACGCAUGAUGGAUCCGACCGCUGCUCAGACCAGGAGCUUUUCGACCGGAUCUGCAGCGCCAUAAAAUUCAACGAGGAUGAGCUGUUGGUUGGGUGAUCUACCCGCAACAAAUGAGAACCUGGUGUGAAGAGGAGGCAGCGAGAGAUUGAAAGGGGAAGAUAGUGUGAGCGAGGAGGAAGAGCAGAACCACGGUGGUGCGCGCAUCUCCGAGUGGCCCUUGCGAUCGGAAAACCACCUCACAGAGUCAUCUUCCAAGCUUAUCUCCGCGAAACGCCAACCUCCAUAGAAAAGUAAGACUAGAAGAAGAUCUGGGAGGACUUCCGCACCUAGACUGAUGUUUAGGUAAUACAAAUUCAUCGAGGAUGGUCCUUUUUAAUUUCUGAGCCAUUGAGCGAAUUGUUGAUCUCAUUUUAAUGCUUGAUGUGGUGCUUUUUAGUGUUUGUUACUGUAUUUGUAUUGUAUGCAGAGCCGUAGGACAUCCAGGAGCUCUCGAGUGAGCAACCAAAUAUCACUGUGUGCAUCAAGCCCCUUCUCUGCUCCCGAGCGCAGACGGUGAACGCUGGCGGCGGCCAUGCCCCUUGUCCUCGUCCUUCUCCGUAAAGGCAUGCCAUGGCUGCCGCUACACAGCACGACGGCGGCAAGGAGGAGAACGCUCGAAGAAGGGGCAGCGCCUCAAUCUUUGGCUCCUCUUCGUCAUGCAUAGCAGCCGU